UCCUUUGUGAUACUGGAGAAGGUCCC
rnacentral:piRNA from 1 species